rnacentral:rRNA from 1 species
CUACGGGGCGCUGCAGUCGAGAAUCUUCGGCAAUGGGCGAAAGCCUGACCGAGCGACGCCGCGUGCGGGAUGAAGGCCUUCGGGUUGUAAACCGCUGUCAGAGGGGAUGAAAUGCAUGAGGGCACUCUCUCAUGUUUGACAAAUCCUCAGAGGAAGGACGGGCUAAGUUCGUGCCAGCAGCCGCGGUAAGACGAACCGUCCAAACGUUAUUCGGAAUCACUGGGCUUAAAGGGUGCGUAGGCGGUGCGGUAAGUUGGGUGUGAAAUCCCUCGGCUCAACCGAGGAACUGCGCCCAAAACUACCGUGCUCGAGGGAGACAGAGGUGAGCGGAACUUCAGGUGGAGCGGUGAAAUGCGUUGAUAUCUGAAGGAACACCCGUGGCGAAAGCGGCUCACUGGGUCUCUUCUGGCGCUGAGGCACGAAAGCUAGGGGAGCGAACGGGAUUAGAUACCCGCGUAGUC